ACAGAUGGUUCACCAUACCACCAUCUGCCCGAGAAUUACAAGUGAAAAACUUAAAACUCUAAGGACUUGACGGUGCCCCACACCAAUCUAGAGGAGCCUGUCCUAUAAUCGAUACUCCACGCUCUACCUCACCCCCCCUUGCAAAACCCGCCUAUAUACCGCCGUCGCCAGCCUACCUACUGAUAGCAACAACAGUCGGCACAACAGCACUCCGCUAGUACGUCAGGUCAAGGUGUAGCUCAUGGGGGGGACUAAGAUGGGCUACAUUUGCUAGCCUAUAGCAAAUCACACUAAAAGCCCUAUGAAACAAGGGCCCACAGGCGGAUUUAGCAGUAAACCCCGGGCAAGACCUGCCCGCUUGAACCCCGCUCUGGGGUGCGUACACACCG
rnacentral:rRNA from 1 species